AUUGAACGCUGGCGGCAGGCUUAACACAUGCAAGUCGAGCGGAGAUGAGGUGCUUGCACCUUAUCUUAGCGGCGGACGGGUGAGUAAUGCUUAGGAAUCUGCCUAUUAGUGGGGGACAACAUUCCGAAAGGAAUGCUAAUACCGCAUACGUCCUACGGGAGAAAGCAGGGGAUCUUCGGACCUUGCGCUAAUAGAUGAGCCUAAGUCGGAUUAGCUAGUUGGUGGGGUAAAGGCCUACCAAGGCGACGAUCUGUAGGGGGUCUGAGAGGAUGAUCCGCCACACUGGGACUGAGACACGGCCCAGACUCAUACGGGAGGCAGCAGUGGGGAAUAUUGGACAAUGGGGGGAACCCUGAUCCAGCCAUGCCGCGUGUGUGAAGAAGGCCUUAUGGUUGUAAAGCACUUUAAGCGAGGAGGAGGCUACUGAGACUAAUACUCUUGGAUAGUGGACGUUACUCGCAGAAUAAGCACCGGCUAACUCUGUGCCAGCCGCCGCAGUAACAC
rnacentral:rRNA from 1 species